GUAACGAGCGCAACCCUUGUCCUUAGUUACCAGCACGUUAUGGUGGGCACUCUAAGGAGACUGCCGGUGACAACCGGAGGAAGGUGGGGAUGACGUCAAGUCAUCAUGGCCCGUUACGGCCGUGGGCUACACACGUGCUACAAUGGUCGGUCAAAGGGUUGCCAAGCCGCGAGGUGGAGCUAAUCCCAUAAAACCGAUCGUAGUCCGGAUCGCAGUCUGCAACUCGACUGCGUGAAGUCGGAAUCGCUAGUAAUCGUGAAUCAGAAUGUCACGGUGAAUACGUUCCCGGGCCUU
rnacentral:rRNA from 1 species